rnacentral:lncRNA from 10 species
AGGUUUCCCAGCCACUAUUGUGAGGUGCUCACAAACCACUGCCAAUGCGCUGACUAAAUAAUACUGGCUACAUUCAAGCGUAUGCAGCUGAUGCUCUUACAAAGAAAAUGCCCACCCAUUGAAGAGUAUUGCUGAUUUUGCAAUUUUUGUAUUGCAUGAAUUUUCUCAACGAAGGGAUAAAAAGGAUCCAUUUAAUAACUUUUAGCGUCAAGUGGGGGAUUCUCACAAUUUGUUAGGGGAAUUCUGCCGCUGAAGGAGUUUGGUAGCCACCGUGUGCUGCCUUUCCCAAGCCAGCCAUGUUCUGCAGCCUGUGUAAUCUCCAGGCCAAUAGCAUGCACAAAGUACUCAGUUCAAGGACCUCGACCGUGUGCAAAAGGCAUUGUGCACUGCCUGCAGAUGUGUGACUAUGAGGCGCUCAGAGGAACACACUGCAGAACGAAUGAGGUGAAGGAGAGACUAAUGGGCUGAGCCUGGGGUAUUAAACUGGAUCUAUAUGAGAGGAAGCCACCGUCUUCCGUGGAUGCUGCUAAUUACAGCGACGA